AAUACCGCAUAUGCUCACACUAACACAUGUAAGAGUGAGGAAAGGAGCAAUCCACUUACAGAUGGGCUUGCGUCUGAUUAGCUAGUUGGUGGGGUAAAGGCCUACCAAGGCGACGAUCAGUAGCCGGACUGAGAGGUUGAACGGCCACAUUGGGACUGAGAUACGGCCCAGACUCCUACGGGAGGCAGCAGUCGGGAAUAUUGCGCAAUGGAGGAAACUCUGACGCAGUGACGCCGCGUAUAGGAAGAAGUUUUUCGGAAUGUAAACUAUUGUCGUUAGGGAAGAGAAAGGACGGUACCUAAGGAGGAAGCCCCGGCUAACUAUGUGCCAGCAGCCGCGGUAAUACAUAGGGGGCGAGCGUUAUCCGGAAUUAUUGGGUGUAAAGGGUGCGUAGACGGGAAAUUAAGUUAGUUGUGAAAUCCCUUGGCUUAACUGAGGAACUGCAACUAAAACUGAUUUUCUUGAGUAUUGGAGAGGAAAGUGGAAUUCCUAGUGUAGCGGUGAAAUGCGUAGAUAUUAGGAGGAACACCAGUGGCGAAGGCGACUUUCUGGACAAAAACUGACGUUGAGGCACGAAAGUGUGGGGAGCAAACAGGAUUAGAUACCCUGGUAGUCCACACCGUAAACGAUGGAUACUAGGUGUAGGGUGAAAAAACUCUGUGCCGGCGC
rnacentral:rRNA from 1 species